AAAUGCGAUAAGUAAUGUGAAUUGCAGAAUUCAGUGAAUCAUCGAAUCUUUGAACGCACAUUGCGCCCGCCAGUAUUCUGGCGGGCAUGCCUGUCCGAGCGUCAUUUCAACCAUCAAGCCCCCGGGCUUGUGUUGGGGACCUGCGGCUGCCGCAGGCCCUGAAAAGCAGUGGCGGGCUCGCUGUCACACCGAGCGUAGUAGCAUACAUCUCGCUCUGGGCGUGCUGCGGGUUCCGGCCGUUAAACCACCUUCGUAACCCAAGGUUGACCUCGGAUCAGGUAGGAAGACCCGCUGAACUUAAGC
rnacentral:misc_RNA from 1 species